rnacentral:rRNA from 1 species
AACGAACGCUGGCGGCAUGCCUAACACAUGCAAGUCGAACGAGACCUUCGGGUCUAGUGGCGCACGGGUGCGUAACGCGUGGGAACCUGCCCUUAGGUUCGGAAUAACUCCCCGAAAGGGGUGCUAAUACCGGAUAAUGUCUUCGGACCAAAGAUUUAUCGCCUUUGGAUGGGCCCGCGUUGGAUUAGCUAGUUGGUAGGGUAAAAGCCUACCAAGGCGACGAUCCAUAGCUGGUCUGAGAGGAUGAUCAGCCACACUGGGACUGAGACGCAGCACAGAAUCCUACGGAAGGCAGCAGUGGGGAAUAUUGGACCAUGGGCGAAAGCCUGAUCCAGCAAUGCCGCGUGAGUGAUGAAGGCCUUAGGGUUGUAAAGCUCUUUUACCCGGGAUGAUAAUGACAGUACCGGGAGAAUAAGCCCCGGCUAACUCCGUG